CGCCGUCGGGGCGUUCCUCCCGCGCCUGCUGCGCCUCGUCAAGGACUACGCCCGCUUCAGCCCUCUACAGCCCUCGGCCCAGAGGAAGAAGGGCGCGCGCACUGACAACGAAUGGGCGCGCUGGAAGAAGAACGAAGCCCACCGCCUGGCGUCAAAGAGGAACGGCCCGGCACCCCGCUGAACAAGGGCACUAAUACGCGUGGACAAAGUAUGGAUAAUUGAGUAGAAUUAGGGAUUAAAGCGGAGAUGGACAUGUUACUAGUGGCCUUAGACAUGUGGACAAUUUUUUGUAUGUGAAGGCGUUUCGAAACUGUUUCUUUUUGUUUGAAAUGCUAUCAUAUGGUUGGACAAAUUAUGCAGGAGAGGUGAAACCCACUUGGAUGAACAGUUUGUCAAAAUCAUCUUUCAAAAUUAUAUUGGUUCUAAUUGAACAAAUAUCAAAAUUCCUGGAAUGUUUUUGGGUCUGGUUUUUGUAGCUCAUCCG